rnacentral:rRNA from 1 species
UACGAAGGGUGCAAGCGUUACUCGGAAUUACUGGGCGUAAAGCGUGCGUAGGUGGUGAGUUAAGUCUGUCGUGAAAGCCCCGGGCUUAACCUGGGAAUGGCAUUGGAAACUGGCGGGCUUGAGUGCGGCAGAGGGGGGUGGAAUUCCGCGUGUAGCAGUGAAAUGCGUAGAGAUGCGGAGGAACACCGAUGGCGAAGGCAGCCCCCUGGGUCGACACUGACGCUCAGGCACGAAAGCGUGGGGAGCAAACAGG